rnacentral:rRNA from 1 species
AGAGCAUAUGGUGGAUGCCUUGGCACCAGGAGCCGACGAAGGACGUGAUAAGCUGCGAUAAGCUGUGGUUAGCCGCAAAUAGGCCUUGACCCACAGAUUUCCGAAUGGGGAAACCCACCAGAAGUAAAGAGCUGGUACCAUAACAUGAAUACAUAGUGUUAUGGAGGGAGACCGGGGGAACUGAAACAUCUAAGUACCCCGAGGAGUAGAAAGAAACAUCGAUUUCCUAAGUAGCGGCGAGCGAAAGGGAAAGAGCCCAAACCAGUGAGGGAAACUUCACCGGGGUUGAGGACCGGCGAUAAAUAUUGGAGCUUUAGCCGAAGAGAUCUGGAAAGGUCUAUCACAGAAGGUAAAAAUCCUGUAGGCGAAAAGGCAAAGAUAGGAGCCGGGAUCCAGAGUACCACGAGACACGAGAAACCUUGUGGGAAGCAGGGAGGCCCACCUCCCAAGGCUAAAUACUACCUGGUGACCGAUAGCGCAUAGUACCGUGAGGGAAAGGUGAAAAGAACCCCGGGAGGGGAGUGAAAUAGAACCUGAAACCGUAUGCUUACAAUCGGUGGGAGCACUAUUCGAAAGAAGUGUGACCGCGUACUUUUUGUAGAACGGACCAGCGAGUUACGUUAGUCAGCGAGGUUAAGGUGUUAAGCACCGGAGCCGAAGCGAAAGCGAGUCUUAAUAGGGCGCUAAGUUGGCUGAUGUAGACCCGAAACCGGGUGACCUAUCCAUGGACAGGGUGAAGUUGGAGUAAAAUCCAAUGGAGGCCCGAACUCACCGUUGUUGAAAAAACGGGGGAUGAGCUGUGGAUAGCGGAGAAAUUCCAAUCGAACUCGGAGAUAGCUGGUUCUCCCCGAAAUAGCUUUAGGGCUAGCCUCAGUAUAGAAUACCGGAGGUAGAGCACUGAAUGGGCUAGGGGCCUUAUCGGUUACCGAACCCUAUCAAACUCCGAAUGCCGGAUAUUUAAUUACUGGGAGUCAGACUGCGAGUGAUAAGAUCCGUAGUCAAAAGGGAAAGAGCCCAGACCAUCAGCUAAGGUCCCCAAGUAUAGGCUAAGUGGUAAAGGAUGUGUGACUACAGAGACAACCAGGAUGUUGGCUUAGAAGCAGCCAUUCAUUGAAAGAGUGCGUAAUAGCUCACUGGUCAAGUGGUCAUGCGCCGAAAAUUACCGGGGCUAAAGCCUAACACCGAAGCUAUGGCUGGUUGUGUUACCACUAGUAUUCUUAGGAGAGAAAGGAAGCAAGGUAAUUUCACCAAAAGCGACCAUAGGAAGUCAAUAAGAAGCUUUUGGUCAAAUUCACGAAGGGAUAAAGACAAACUAAGGAUAGCAGUGGUAACACAACCGGGGUAGGGGAGCGUCGUAUACAGGCAGAAGCUGUACCGUAAGGAGCAGUGGACAGUAUACGAGAGAGAAUGCUGGUAUAAGUAGCGAAAGUGGAGUGAGAAUCUUCACCAUCGAAAAUCUAAGGUUUCCUGAGGAAGGGUCGUCCGCUCAGGGUAAGUCGGGACCUAAGGAGAGGCGUAAAGCGUAUCCGAUGGACAAUCGGUUGAAAUUCCGAUACCGCCGAAUAUCGAUUGAAGGAAGCAGUGACACAGGAGGAUAGGAAGAGCACGGAGUUGGUAUACCGUGUCCAAGCAUCGAGGCUGGUCAGUAGGAAAGACCGCUGACCGAUAAGGCUGAGGUGUGAUGGGGAGCGAAAUUAGAGUAGCGAAGAAUCCGAUUUCACACUGUCAAGAAAAGCUGCUAACGAGAUAUCAGGUGCCCGUACCGCAAACCGACACAGGUAGAUGAGGAGAGAAUCCUAAGAUGAGCGAGAGAAGCGUUGUUAAGGAACUCGGCAAAAUAACCCCGUAACUUCGGGAGAAGGGGUGCCAGGGAAACCUGGCCGCAGAGAAAUGGCCCAAGCGACUGUUUAGCAAAAACACAGGUCUCUGCUAAAUCGAAAGAUGACGUAUAGGGGCUGACGCCUGCCCGGUGCUGGAAGGUUAAGGGGAAAGCUUAGCGCAAGCGAAGGUUUGAACUUAAGCCCCAGUAAACGGCGGCCGUAACUAUAACGGUCCUAAGGUAGCGAAAUUCCUUGUCAGGUAAGUUCUGACCCGCACGAAUGGCGUAACGACUUGGGCACUGUCUCAACAACGCGCUCGGCGAAAUUGUAGCACUAGUGAAGAUGCUAGUUACCCGCGAUUGGACGGAAAGACCCCGUAGAGCUUCACUGCAGCUUGACAUUGGGUUUUGGUAUUUCAUGUACAGGAUAGGUGGGAGACAGAGAAGCAGUAACGCCAGUUACUGUGGAGUCGACGUUGGGAUACCACUCUUGAGAUACCGGAAUUCUAACCAGUGGCCAUGGAACUGGUCAUGGGACAUAGUCAGGUGGGCAGUUUGACUGGGGCGGUCGCCUCCCAAAGAGUAACGGAGGCGUCCAAAGGUUCCCUCAGAAUGGUUGGAAAUCAUUCGGAGAGUGCAAAGGCAGAAGGGAGCCUGACUGCGAGAGAGACAACUCGAGCAGGUACGAAAGUAGGGCUUAGUGAUCCGGUGGUACCGAGUGGAAGGGCCAUCGCUCAACGGAUAAAAGCUACCUCGGGGAUAACAGGCUUAUCUCCCCCAAGAGUCCACAUCGACGGGGAGGUUUGGCACCUCGAUGUCGGCUCGUCGCAUCCUGGGGCUGAAGUAGGUCCCAAGGGUUGGGCUGUUCGCCCAUUAAAGCGGCACGCGAGCUGGGUUCAGAACGUCGUGAGACAGUUCGGUCCCUAUCCGUCGCGGGCGUAGGAAAUUUGAGGAGAUCUGUCCUUAGUACGAGAGGACCGGGAUGGACGAACCACUGGUGUAUCAGUUGUCCUGCCAAGGGCAUGGCUGAGUAGCCAAGUUCGGAACGGAUAAGCGCUGAAGGCAUCUAAGCGCGAAACCGACUCCAAGAUAAGAUUUCCCACAGCGUAGGCUGGU